rnacentral:rRNA from 1 species
UACGUAGGGGGCUAGCGUUGUCCGGAUUCAUUGGGCGUAAAGCGCGUGUAGGCGGCCAGGUAGGUCCGAUGUGAAAACUGGAGGCUCAGCCUCCAGCUGUCAUUGGAAACCAUCUGGCUAGAGUCCGGAAGAGGAGAGUGGAAUUCCUGGUGUAGCGGUGAAAUGCGCAGAUAUCAGGAAGAACACCGAUGGCGAAGGCAGCUCUCUGGGACGGUACUGACGCUGAGACGCGAAAGCGUGGGGAGCGAACAGG